rnacentral:lncRNA from 1 species
UGGGGAUGGCAUCUCUAAGCUCCUUUUCCUUGUUGGCCUCACCCGGCUCAGCCCCUCGGUCCAUCCUCUGCUGGUUUCUUGAGCUCAGCAGCUCAGAGAGCAGUAAACUCUGAGGAGAUCUGACAGCUAUCCAGUCCCGCUCCCUGGUACAGGCAUCCCUCCUGCAGCUCCCUGGCCAAGGUGCCAGGGUGUGUGUGCACGAGGGAGACUUAGAGUGGCAGGCCACGGCAAAGAAAACUUGCUGUUUCAUAACUCUCAGCGAAGAAAUAUUCUUUAAAAACGAAGAUGAGACUAAGCCAGAAGAUUGCAUACCAGAUGUACCAGGCAAUGAACACGCCAGGGAAUUUCUGGCUCAUGCACCAACUAAAGGACUUUGGAUGCCACUGGGGAAAGAAGUCAAAGUUAUGCAGUGUUGGCGUUGCAAACGGUAUGGUCACCGAACGGGUGACAAAGAAUGCCCUUUCUUUAUCAAAGGCAACCAAAAGUUAGAGCAGUUCAGAGUGGCACAUGAAGAUCCCAUGUAUGACAUUAUACGAGACAAUAAACGACAUGAAAAGGAC